UUAAACUGACAGUCAGCCACAGCCAUCAACCGACACUCAACGACAAACCGGUCGAUAGAAAAGAAGUAAUCGAGGACUCGCAAAAUCUUUCAACCUUAAUUUCGCCACAAAAAUCAAUCAAAAUGGCCGAUAAUGAUGACCUCUUGGAUUAUGAAGACGAAGAACAAACCGAACAAGGAGUUGAAGUGGCAGAACCACCAAAAAAAGAUGUUAAAGGCACAUACGUAUCCAUUCACAGCAGUGGUUUCCGAGAUUUCCUUUUGAAACCUGAAAUAUUGCGAGCUAUUGUCGACUGUGGUUUCGAACAUCCGUCUGAAGUUCAACACGAAUGUAUACCGCAAGCGGUACUCGGUAUGGACAUUUUGUGUCAGGCCAAGUCUGGUAUGGGUAAAACGGCCGUUUUCGUUUUGGCUACGCUUCAGCAAUUGGAACCGACCGAAAAUCAUGUGUAUGUGUUGGUUAUGUGCCAUACCCGUGAAUUGGCUUUCCAAAUCAGCAAAGAGUACGAACGCUUCUCCAAAUAUAUGCCCACCAUCAAAGUGGGUGUAUUCUUCGGUGGCAUGCCGAUUCAAAAAGACGAAGAGACCCUGAAAUCAAUUAACCCUCACAUAGUGGUUGGAACGCCCGGACGCAUAUUGGCAUUGAUUCGCAAUAAAAAAUUGAAUUUGAAGAACAUCAAGCAUUUCAUCCUCGAUGAGUGUGACAAAAUGCUGGAACAAUUAGAUAUGCGUCGCGACGUUCAAGAAAUUUUCCGCAACACACCACAUAGCAAACAAGUUAUGAUGUUCUCCGCCACACUCAGCAAAGACAUUCGUCCCGUCUGCAAGAAAUUCAUGCAAGAUCCAAUGGAAGUGUACGUCGACGAUGAGGCCAAACUAACGCUCCACGGAUUACAGCAACAUUACGUUAAGCUCAAGGAAAACGAAAAGAAUAAAAAACUGUUCGAGCUAUUGGACGUUUUAGAAUUUAACCAGGUUGUAAUUUUCGUGAAGUCAGUUCAACGAUGUGUAGCCCUGGCAACCCUAUUGACUGAUCAGAAUUUCCCAGCUAUUGGCAUUCAUCGUGGAAUGGUACAAGAAGAGAGAUUGUCUCGUUAUCAACAGUUCAAAGAUUUUCAGAAGCGAAUUUUGGUCGCAACGAACCUAUUCGGCCGUGGUAUGGAUAUCGAAAGAGUAAACAUUGUCUUCAACUACGACAUGCCAGAAGACUCGGACACAUAUUUGCAUCGAGUUGCUCGUGCUGGACGUUUCGGUACCAAGGGUUUGGCCAUUACCUUUGUGUCGGACGAAUCAGAUGCUAAAAUCUUGAAUGAGGUGCAAGAGCGGUUUGACGUAAACAUCAGCGAAUUGCCGGACGAAAUUGACCUGUCAUCUUACAUCGAGGGAAGAUAAGCUAAACGAUUAAAGUUUUGGAUAAUUACGGACUUACAUUGAAUUAUGUAUGGUUUUUCUACACUCAAUUGAAGUAGUAUUUAAUUUACAACAAUUUACAUCAAUCGAUUAUUAUUUCGAUGUGUCCCAAUCAGUAAAUCAUUUUUCCUAAAUUUAAAUUUGAAAUUCCAUUACAUCUCACAAACAAAAAAGCUAACCAUUAAAUAUACUGAAUUGAUUGGAGACGCUCAAAACCAAUUUUAUAAUUUUGAUAAGUUGUUUAAGGAACUAGAAAAUAAAUUAAACAUAAAAAUGAUGUGGUCAUUUCGACGAAAAGUA